rnacentral:rRNA from 1 species
GACGAACGCUGGCGGUGUGCUUAACACAUGCAAGUGGAGCGACGAACCAGGGCUUGCCCUGGGGCAGAGCCGCGAACGGGUGAGUAACACGUGGGUAACCUACCCCGAUGACCGGGACAACUCGAGGAAACUCGAGCUAAUACCGGAUGUGCUCGCCCCUCAUGAGAGGGGUGAGCAAAGGAAGCUUCGGCCUCCGCAUUGGGACGGGCCCGUGGCCCAUUAGCUAGUUGGUGGGGUAAUGGCCUACCAAGGCUGCGAUGGGUAGCUGGUCUGAGAGGACGAUCAGCCACACUGGGACUGAGACACGGCCCAGACUCCUACGGGAGGCAGCAGUGGGGAAUCUUGCGCAAUGCGCGAAAGCGUGACGCAGCAACACCGCGUGGGGGAAGACGGCCUUCGGGUUGUAAACCCCUUUCAGGAGGGACGAAGGCCGGCCGGUGAAUAGCCGUGCCGGUGACGGUACCUC